rnacentral:rRNA from 1 species
UACGUAGGGUGCGUGCGUUAAUCGGAAUUACUGGGCGUAAAGCGUGCGCAGGCGGUCUGUUAAGACCGAUGUGAAAUCCCCGGGCUUAACCUGGGAACUGCAUUGGUGACUGGCAGGCUUUGAGUGUGGCAGAGGGAGGUAGAAUUCCACGUGUAGCAGUGAAAUGCGUAGAGAUGUGGAGGAACACCGAUGGCGAAGGCAGCCCCCUGGGCCUGUACUGACGCUCAUGCACGAAAGCGUGGGGAGCAAACAGG